rnacentral:rRNA from 1 species
AGUGAACGCUGGCGGUAGGCCUAACACAUGCAAGUAGAACGGCAGCACAGUAAGAGCUUGCUCUUACGGGUGGCGAGUGGCGGACGGGUGAGGAAUACAUCGGAACCUACUUUUUCGUGGGGGAUAACGUAGGUAAACUUACGCUAAUACCGCAUACGACCUACGGGUGAAAGCAGGGGAUCUUCGGACCUUGCGCGAUUGAAUGAGCCGAUGUCGGAUUAGCUAGUUGGUGGGGUAAAGGCCCACCAAGGCGACGAUCCGUAGCUGGUCUGAGAGGAUGGACCGCCACACUGGAACUGAGAAUGAGUCCAGACUCCUACGGUGGGCAGCAGUGGGGAAUAUUGGACAAUGGGCGCAAGCCUGAUCCAGCAAUACCGCGUGGGUGAAGAAGGCCUUCGGGUUGUAAAGCCCUUUUGUUGGGAAAGAAAAGCUGCAGGUUAAUACGCCGCUGUUCUGACGGUACCCAAAGAAUAAGCACCGGCUAACUUCGUG